CAGGUACACACCCUGUCCAUCUUCUUCCUCCGUGGGAUUACCUGCAGUUGAGUCACACCAAAACCACCAGGAUUUUGCGUUGCUCCACUUGCUACUGCUCCUCGGGAAGCUCAAUUUUGAAGAUCGAGUUCUUCUAUGCACUUUGUUUUCAGUUCAUAAAUGCUAUCUGCACCCACAGAAAUUGAGUUUUCCCAUUGAAGAUUGUCCACUGAAUCUAGAUGUCUUCAUUUGAUCUAGUCAAGAAAUUUAGGCUGUUAUCAUCAAAAUUGUGAUUCACAUUUACAGUGAUCACCAAAACAGGUGGCUGCUGCAUCAGUGGGUGCAAUGAUGCAGCCACUUUGGUCUUCCCAAUUGCCUGCCCUACUGGUGAAGAAUACUAUAAGAAACAGGCCAGAAAAGUAUGGGAAUGAUGAGUCAUGACCUGUUCGUCAAUUGGACGACCUGUCAUUGCCCAAGUUUCAACCAUCAGUUCAUGUAAAAGAAAUUGUCCUCAAAAGUCUAAAAGUGGUGGCAGAGUGUGGAUUCUGCACAGGACUUCUUCAACAGAGACCGAAUGAUGUGAUUGCUUUGAGCUCUUCAACAAAAGGCAAACUUUGUUUUUCUUUUGUUAUAUAUGAAGAGAAAUCGAUUGGAAAAUUAGUCUAAAGAGGAGUUUUCAGAAAGGAAAUUAUAUAGCUUUACAAGCCAUAUGAAGCUUUUCAUAUGGAAUCAGGGGAUGAACUUUGUUUCCAUGAGAAUUUUGACUCUCGGAACAGAGCUUGUUUACGGAACAUUCUGUAAGACAUUGGUGUGAGCAUAUUAUUCCUCUAGUUUUGCGCUUGAUGAAAUUUUAUUCAUCAGCUUGAAAGCAUUUGUUUACUGCAGAAC
rnacentral:lncRNA from 1 species